rnacentral:rRNA from 1 species
UACGUAUGGUGCGAACGUUGUUCGGAAUCACUGGGCGUAAAGCGCGUGUAGGCGGACAAUCAAGUCAGGUGUGAAAUCCCCGGGCUCAACCUGGGAACUGCAUCUGAAACUGGUUGUCUUGAGUAUCGGAGAGGGAAGCGGAAUUCCUGGUGUAGAGGUGAAAUUCGUAGAUAUCAGGAGGAACACCGGUGGCGAAGGCGGCUUCCUGGACGAUUACUGACGCUGAGACGCGAAAGUGUGGGUAGCAAACAGG